AGGCUUUUUCGGGAUUCGUUUCGGAGCCUGGCGCUCCUCCUCGCGGAGGUGGCGGCGGGUGGUCGGUUCAUAUCUCCGGGGGUGUUGGGACGACGCAUGAGUGGCAGUCAGGACUGGUUCCCAUUGCAGGCUCCGUGCUUCUCGCAUCGAACUGCUUUGGUCAGUCCGUUUCAUUUUCUCGCCUCGAUGCCUUGAGGGUCGAUCGCGAGCGUUGAGUGGGUUCCUGUGCUGUAUACCGUAUUUUGGUGGUCGGAUUCAAUGUUGUCCGCUUUUCGGGUUCCCUCGUUCCUCCUUCGCGUCCUGUGCGUCGGUGGUUAUCGUGCGAGCAUCGACGCUUUCCGUCCGUGCGGUCGUCCACAUCUGGGCGUAUGCGCUCGUGUGGGAGCGUGGACGCCGUCCGCCUGCUCCUGGGUACGGAGAUAUCAGUUGCUAUCGCGCGGUCCUUUGUUGGCCGUUGCGAUCUGGCCGUGUCGGAGCAUCUUUGCUUUCUGCUCGGGUGACCCUCGUUGUUCCCUCGGUACUCACGGAGACUCUCCUCCCCGGUUUAUCCUCGGGAGGCAUCGAGGUCUACAAUGGAAUGCUACCUGGUUGAUCCUGCCAG
rnacentral:misc_RNA from 1 species